rnacentral:rRNA from 1 species
UACAGAGGCCCGUAGCAUUGUCCGGAUUUACUGGGUGUAAAGGGCGUGUAGCCGGGUUGGCAAGUCAGACGUGAAAUCUAUGGGCUUAACUCAUAAACUGCAUUUGAAACUGCUGAUCUUGAGUAUCGGAGAGGCAAUCGGGAUUCCUAGUGUAGCGGUGAAAUGCGUAGAUAUUAGGAGGAACACCAGUGGCGAAGGCGGAUUGCUGGACGACAACUGACGGUGAGGCGCGAAAGCGUGGGGAGCAAAC